rnacentral:misc_RNA from 1 species
GAACAACUCCGAGUCAAUCCGAGCACGACCGAACCGGCGGCCAUUUUGCAACUCUAGAUACGAGGUUCGAACGUCGUGAAGUUCGGACGUAGCGUCUCGGUCGCCGCGGAUUUAAUUUUGGGAGUGACUCCGAUAGUGAAAUAUUGAAUUAAAAUGCAGUCAACAACGCAGUCAGAAAUCAACGCCUUGACGACGACCCGGUGCAGCUGCAAAUACGUCGGAGCAAAGUAAGCUGAUGCUGUUCAGGCGCUGGGCGACGGAUACUGCGAUGUUAUCAUUUCUCUCUACUGCUCCAGGCGUAUUAUUCCCGGUCCGAACAACAAACAGAGUCGAUUAAUUGGCUGUUCCAGAAACAAAAGAACAGAGACAGGUCUGAACACGAGGUGCAUGGACUGCAAAGGAGUCUGGAAGCGGUGACGCCGUGCGGAUUUGUUGUCCUACGGGGUGACAUAGACGUCGCGUCUGCAUCUAUCGCAGCGGCAAAAAACCGUCUGGACCUUCUCUCCGGGUGGUGAUCGAGCCUGAUGGUGCGGUAAACUCUGGAGAGAAGGGAAAAAAGAAUGGCUUUUAUUUACGAGGGGCACAGAGGCGUCCUGCCGACAAGCUGACUGCAAAGAAACUCGGAGUUGAAUACCGCGAGGAACGGGGUUAGGGGUGGCAGGAGCAACUCGCUGGGGGAAGAAGAAACGUAUUUCCCGACGGGAAGACGCAAGGAAUUACCGUGGAAAGGAGGAAAAUAAUGAAAUCUCUUCUUAAAAUCUGUUAUACCGCGUACGAAAAUUACGAUAAUAUCGCAAUUGAAGCGAUAUCGUUGCUCUUCACGGCGAGGAAGAAGAAGAAAUCCAUCAUCCGAGAUCGCACGUUUAUAAUACACUAUUGUCAGGUAAGAUUUCAACGUAGGUUUGACGGCAGAAGGUACAUACAACAUAUUCGUAUUCUUUGUAAUUACGACCAAUUUAGAAGAUUUAAAAUUACUAUUCACGCUAUCGUACCGUUUACGACCAAAUACCUGCUGUAAGAAGUCCUUGUAAUAAAAAUAUUUG